GGUGGAAAUCGGGUACACUGCAUCCUCGGCGGUAGGGUUAUCCCAGAACCAAUCUCCCGUCAUCCACCCCUGUCUGUCAGAAAGAGUGGAUCCACACGCUUUGAAUGUCUUGUGCCAAAAAGAAAAUUUGCUGACCCAGACGGGAUGAACAGCUGAAAACACAAAACUGUCUCUGGAGAAAGCUGCCACCUUCCCGUCAGAACACUCAAGCAACUUGAAGAGAAUCCAUGAGCAGAGGAACCAAGACCUCUUACCAAGAACCAGACAACUGACCAGUAGUAUGAGUGAUCCACUUUUGAAGGAGGUCCUCCCACCCCAAUUUAGCCUUCAGAUGAUGGUAGUCCUGGCCCACAUCAUGAAUUCAUUGUCAUGAAAACUUCACUUCAGAACUUCCUGGCUAAGCCACUCCUGACCCUCGAAAACUGUGAGAGAUAAUAAACGCUUACAGUUGUUUUAAACCACUAA